rnacentral:rRNA from 1 species
AUUGAACGCUGGCGGCAUGCUUUACACAUGCAAGUCGAACGGCAGCACGGGCUUCGGCCUGGUGGCGAGUGGCGAACGGGUGAGUAAUGCAUCGGAACGUACCGUGUAAUGGGGGAUAACGUAGCGAAAGUUACGCUAAUACCGCAUACGCCCUGAGGGGGAAAGUGGGGGGACCGCAAGGCCUCACGUUAUACGAGCGGCCGAUGUCGGAUUAGCUAGUUGGUGGGGUAAAGGCCUACCAAGGCGACGAUCCGUAGCGGGUCUGAGAGGAUGAUCCGCCACACUGGGACUGAGACACGGCCCAGAUUCCUACGGGAGGCAGCAGUGGGGAAUUUUGGGACAAUGGGCGCAAGCCUGAUCCAGCCAUGCCGCGUGAGUGAAGAAGGCC